AAACCAACAGGGAUUGCCUUAGUAACGGCGAGUGAAGCGGCAAAAGCUCAAAUUUGAAAUCUGGCACCUUCGGUGUCCGAGUUGUAAUUUGAAGAAGGUAACUUUGGAGUUGGCUCUUGUCUAUGUUCCUUGGAACAGGACGUCACAGAGGGUGAGAAUCCCGUGCGAUGAGAUGCCCAAUUCUAUGUAAAGUGCUUUCGAAGAGUCGAGUUGUUUGGGAAUGCAGCUCUAAGUGGGUGGUGAAUUCCAUCUAAAGCUAAAUAUUGGCGAGAGACCGAUAGCGAACAAGUACAGUGAUGGAAAGAUGAAAAGAACUUUGAAAAGAGAGUGAAAAAGUACGUGAAAUUGUUGAAAGGGAAGGGCUUGAGAUCAGACUUGGUAUUUUGCGAUCCUUUCCUUCUUGGUUGGGUUCCUCGCAGCUUACUGGGCCAGCAUCGGUUUGGAUGGUAGGAUAAUGACUAAGGAAUGUGGCUCUACUUCGGUGGAGUGUUAUAGCCUUGGUUGAUACUGCCUGUCUAGACCGAGGACUGCGUCUUUUGACUAGGAUGUUGGCAUAAUGAUCUUAAGCCAC
rnacentral:rRNA from 1 species